GGAUCUGGAAGGAAAAAAGAAAAUCCAGAAUUCGCCUCGUACUCAAGUUUAGCUCGUGGGUUUAUUGGGCCGUGUGUCUAAGCAGUACGAAUUCCAGAUCGGACAGCCCAGCAAUGAGGAAGUUUAACUCGUGGGCUUAUUGGGCCGUAUGCCUAAGCAGUAUAUAUUCCAGAUCAGAAAGCCCAGCAAAAAAUAGGUAGGGUUCCCAGUUCCUUCUAGAAUCUUCUCAUCUCACUGGCACUCGACUACAAGACGCUCUCUGUACACCAUGCCGCAUUCCCUGCAAUCCUCGCUAGCUAGAGGUGGAGAGCCGCCUCCGCUCUGUCCUGCGAGCGCGAGGAGCGCGGCCCGCCGGACUGCCGCGUUCCCGUUUCCUUCGUCCCCGUGCCGCCAUUUCCGUCGGCGCACCCCCGUGAAGCGAUUCCGCCGACCAUGGCCCGGGGACAACCCAAUCGCGGCGCCGGCAACUCGAUCCCUAUCCCCAGGCGCUCGGCGGCGGCGGAUCCUUCCCGUUGUAGACAGCAGGUCAUAGUAGCGUCAACGGUCGGCCGGCCACUGGCCCACUGCAUAAGUUGCUGCGGAUGCGAUGUCCCAAGAAGGCGGUGACGAGGAGUUCCUGUCACCUACGUACGUGCUACGGGAGCCACCCUGCUGCGUUGAUCUCCUCCGGCUGAAAUUUUGAAGGACUGAUUGGAGGGAGUCAGCAUCAUGGCGCUGUGCGGAGGAAAUGCCCUUGUGGCUAGGCUGGUUGCCUCCCCAUGCUUUCAAUAUUGUGUCUGAGUUUGACUCAUUUUCCAGUGUGGGACCUAACUUAUCCGGUUUAUUCUGCUGCUUCAGUUGAGAGAGCAGGGACAAGGUGGGCUGGCUAUUCGUAGAAUUAAGCAGCAAAGAGUUGUCUUCCGUCAGUUUGUUUGCUUUCUCUCUGUUCAGCAUUGUCCUGAAAAUGUGUACAAUGUUUUCAAAAUGGGAAUUAUUAUGACUGCUAAGUGGCAACUAAAAUCAAAAUAAUCUUAUAUAGAACUAACACUAUUCCAGAAUGUAAGUAUGUAACAUACUAAUACUAUUCCAAAAUGUAAUGUUGUCAAUGCUAUUAAUAGGAUGCAUAAGUAUUAAUUGGGAUUUUUAUUAUUCAAAUAUGAUGCUAAAAUAGGGUGCCUCAUAUAAGGAGAUGACUCUGUAAGAGUAUAGUAUUUACCUGUUUAAAUUAUCUGUCCAAUAGCUGACAGUGCCUGGCUUGGAGUCGUUAACUUUUGCCUUCUUCAAGCUACCUUGUGGCCCAGCACAUGGCAAUGAGCCAGCAGCAGCAGGCACCUCCUUGGUGGUCUUCUUAGGUUGGUUUUCCACAGGCUUUCUUGAACGGUGACGGUUUCUGUUGAUGUGCCGCUCACAGUACUUGUGAUCAGCCAUUGCCUCCUUGGAGCAUCGCCACUUCUUUCCAUCUGUUCGUCGGCAUCUUCCAGGCUCCGGGUCGGAAUCUGCGUUUGUGUAGCCUUGAUAGAGAGGCCUCCAGCUCACUGCAUUACAGAAGUCUGUCAAGCUCACUGCAUUUAUAUCCAAAGGGAUACUGUGGUUAUUCUUUAUGGCAUAUGAUUGUUUGGGUACAUAACAAUUUGGUGCGGCAAUAGUUGAAUGUAAAUAUCUUUGUAGUUCCAUGACAUUCAUAUAUCGAACUUAAUGAUUUGUGGUUUCAUUUACUACAGAGUUGCCAGCAUUUUUAUUUACCAUGUAACACUGCAAAGGCAUCCAUUUGUUUAUUGCUGGAAGGAAUGGGGGCCUUUGCAUUGAGAUACUUGUAUAUCAGAGCCUGGUGCUCCAGCUCCAUCCACUGCGAGGGAGUAAAUGGCCUCUUGGUCCUGGACAGCAGGAAAGCCUGCUCGCUUGGGCCUCCAAAAUCCAAGCCUAGAUGAUUGUGAAACAAGGAGAAUAUUUAGUCUGACCAAAUCUGAAAUGCUGAAGCGAAACAGCAACCUUAUCUCCAGAGACGUGCAUGGUGAAGGGCAGGAGCGCCAAGACAAAAGUGUAAAGAGAACAUAUCCAUCCAUCCAUCCAAGAACAUGCAUCUUGGUUCUACUUGUACAGUGCGUAUGAAAGGAGGAAUGAAUGGGCACAACAUCUUGGUUCUACAGUGCGUAUGAAAGGAAGAAUGGAUGGGCAUGAUGGAAGAAAAUGUGUUGCUGAUGACUGAGGGGGAGGCAUCCAAACCUGAGGGCAAUGUGUGAGCCGCCUUGGAGAACCUGAGCAUCUUCUGUUCGUCGAGGAAGGGGGAGGGGUAGGGGGCAGCAGCCGCCGCCGCUGCCUGGGUGAGGGCUGCUC